rnacentral:rRNA from 1 species
AGCAUAUAAGUAGGUGGAGGAAAAGAAACCGAAAGGGAAUCUCUUGGUAAUGGCGAAUGAAAAGAGACAUGCCCAGUGUCAAAAUCAGUUUAUCUGACUUGUAGGCUGUAGGGGAUUGCCAACUUGGGGGCAGGUGCAAGUCUCUUGGAAAGGAGCACCAGCGAGGGUCAGGGUCCUGCCUGUCACCUGUCAUCCCUUGUAGACGGUUUGCCCAAAAAGAGUCGUGUUCUUCUGGAAUAGAGCACCAAUUGGGUGGUACUCUGUGCCCAAGGAGCAUUACGUGCUUGAGACCAAUAGCGAACAAGUACCAUGAGGGAAGGGUGAAAAGGACUUUGGAAAGAGGGUUAAGAGGGCGUGAAGCUGCUGGAAGGGAAGUAGAUUGAAUCUCUCCUUGUGGUAAGAUUGCGGGUUGCAGUCUCUGUCUGGAAUGCUGCCAUCUGUGCCUCUUGCCGCUUGGUUGGGCUUGGCGUUCUGCUGAGAAAUGUGGUGAGGGCUGGCUGAAGGGUUGUAACCUGAACCAUCCUCUUGCUUGCUCUUGGCAAACCGCUUGUGCUCGACCAAACAGUUCAAUCUUACCCGUCUUGAAACACGGA